rnacentral:rRNA from 1 species
UACAGAGGGUGCUAGCGUUGUUCGGAAUCAUUGGGCGUAAAGGGCGUGUAGGCGGUUUGCUAAGUCAUGUGUGAAAUCCCUCGGCUCAACCGGGGAACGACGCAUGAAACUGGCAAGCUAGAGUACCAAAGAGGGGGGUGGAAUUCCCGGUGUAGCGGUGAAAUGCGUAGAUAUCGGGAGGAACAUCAGUGGCGAAGGCGGCCCUCUGGUCCAGUACUGACACUCAAGUGCGAAAGCGUGGGGAGCAAACAGG